UUGGUUUAGGAUUUAGGAUUUGGAUUAGGGAUUGAUUUAGGGUUUAAGAUUUGAUUUAGGAUUUGAUUAGGAUUUUAUUUAGGAUUUAGAAUUUGGUUUGGGUUUGAUUUAGGAUUUAGGAUUUAGGAUUUGGAUUAAGAUUUGAUUUAAGGUUUGGAUUAGGGUUUGGAUUAGGGUUUGGUUUGAGGUUUGGAUUAGGGUUUGGUUUAGGGUUUAGGAUUUGGUUAGGAUUUGGUUAGGAUUUGAUUUAGGAUUUGGUUGGGAUUUGGUUUAAGAUUUGUUAAGGGUUUGAUUUAGGAUUUAAGAUUUUAUUAGGAUUUAAGAUUCAAUUAGUUUUGGCCUAAAUUUUGAAUGAAGUUCAAUAGGAUUUUAACUAGAAUUAAAUUAAGAUUGAAUUGAGAUGUAUUUGAGUGAUAUUUAUGAUCCUUCUAAUAUUUCUUUAAGAAUUCUUAUUGUUUGUUUGAAAUUUCUUUGAUUUUUCUUUGAAUUUGAUUAAGCUUACUUACCAUUAUUAUGGUCUA
rnacentral:lncRNA from 1 species